GUCACUUCUCUGUGAUAUACCUAAGAGAAAAAAAUGUUAUCUGUUCUUACCAGUUUAAUAUCUGAUAUGUCCUCUAUCCAAGGAUAGUAUAUUAAAUAGAUUCUUUGGAAACAGGAGGUGGAGUAGGAACUUGCUUUGUCUGCUCCAUGAAUCAACCUGCUCUUGCAGUACCUCCAGGAACAGAGCACCCUCC